UACGGAGGGGGCGAGCGUUGUCCGAAGUUACUGGGCGUAAAGCGCGCGUAGGCGGGUUGGCAAGUCCGCUGUGAAAGCCUGCGGCUUAACCGCAGAGGGUCGGUGGAGACUGCCAAUCUUGAAGGUGCUAGGGAGAGAUGGAAUUACCGGUGUAGCGGUGAAAUGCGUAGAGAUCGGUAGGAACACCAGUGGCGAAGGCGGUCACCUGGGGUUGUUCUGACGCUGAGGAGCGAAAGCUAGGGGAGCAAACGGG
rnacentral:rRNA from 1 species